rnacentral:rRNA from 1 species
CAUCCCGAACACGACCGUUAAGCCCUCCAGCGCCGAUGGUACUUGGACCGAAGGGUCCUGGGAGAGUAGGACGCCGCCAAGC